UGAUCAGCCCACUGGGCAUUCAAAGUGACA
rnacentral:piRNA from 1 species